GUCAAUCAGUGCCAAUAACAUGCACACACAGACAUCAAAGUAAAGUCUAAAUCAGUUCCAGAUCAGCUCUCCACACAACACACCAUAUUUUGGUCAUUUUUAGUCUUUAAAAGGCAAUUAAACACUGCAUUAUUGCUAAGGAGCAUAUUGUUAAAAUUGGAUUUAGAGUAGGACACCAUGUCGAUACCUAAGGAUCAAGAGCCGCAGGUUGGGCCGUUUGAUUGUCGUGAUAUACCCAAUCAGGGGAUGAAUUCUUCGUGGGGAAUUGUGGAGCGUCAGUUGCAAGAUGGUAUUGGUGAGCUGCAUCGCAUCUUGGACCGAUUGGGAGCGCCACCUUACCUCAAAAGAGAUUCAGAGGUGGUCCCUCCCAGCAACAUAUCCAAUCCUAUGUCCUCCGGCUCGGAUGAGAGACCACUUCCAGUGGCUAGGGGAACAAGUGACUGUAUAAAUAGUAACCAUAGUCGUAGUCCCAUCUUGAAUCCCAAUAGUGAUAGUGAUUCGGAAACCCAGGAGAACACCCAAAUGGCAAAUAAACUGGCAGAUCUGGCCGUUCUGGAACAGCAAAUGGAUGCGGAAACCCGCCUACUAGCCACUAGGUUCUUCAAUAUAAUGCUUGCGAGGCUAUGGCGCCGACGAAAGGCUGAGGUUUGCGACCUUAACACUCUAGUUCGCACUUACCAGGAAGAUGCCGCUCGCACCCAAGCCGAGCUGUUCACCCGGAACCAGAUGAUUCGCUUCGAGCAGAGUCGUGGUCAACAGCUUAGCACUCGACUUGCGCGGGCUAUCAAUCGGGUUCGCGUAACUAUGGAAAAUUGCGCCGAAUUGGAGAAGGAACUGAAAGAGUUGAGGAAGCGGGAAACGACUUUGCACAGUGACCUGGCAUCCAAAUCGCUGGAAUGCGAAUAUUUUUCCGAAAUGCUGGACACCUAUCGAACCGAAAUGUUCCGGGAAAUGACAAAUUAUCGCGAAGGAGCCAAAGAAUUGGCCAAUCAACAGAGGCGAUCACUCGAACUGGAGCGCAAGAAUGCCCAAUUGGAGGAUGAGCUUCUAACUAUCAAGGAUUAUUUCAUGCUGCAGAAUGACAAGAUGUCGGUAGCGCUUGGCAAAAAACAGGAGCAACUGGACACCGCCUACGAAAGCCUGAAACUUUGCGAAGAGGAACUGGCCAAACUUGAAAUGAAAUACAACGAGCAAGUGCGCCAAAGUCAGAUCGAUAUGGCACUGCAGAACGAGUUGUUGGAUCUGAAAAAGAAUUUGGGCAUGGCACGAUAUCUUAUUUUCUACCUGAAAGCCUGCGGUUGGGGAACUUUCCAAGGAUGCGUGUACCACAUGGUUGCCGGGUCACUAGACUGUUUGGCACCUGCAUUUUCCUCACCGCCGAUGGCAGACAAUUUGCUCCGAAUAGCGAUUUCCACCAUUUUUCUUCUAUUCGCAAUGUAUUAGUUUAUCUUGAGAAUACAAUAAGCACAGUCAAUGGAAAGUGGAGAGAGUUCGAUGGUCGAGCAUUUAUGAGCUGGGAUCUUGUGAACAUUUCAGGACACCCAACCAUCAAUUUGUUGCAACGUAUAUAUUAGAAAUAUUCUUGUUUUCCCUUUUGUCACAAUAUUUUUUGGGUCCGGGCAUUACGUAAUGAUCUCUAAAGCUUAAGCAGUUUUUUAUUUGUUAUUUGAUGAUCCAGGCAUGUGUGCAUGAGCAUAUCCCAUUUGUAUUUUCCACCCCACUUGAUUGCAAUAUCUGAAUGUGACUGUCCAAAUCCAUUAUUGUCGGUUUGCGGUCGACCGCGAAACAAUUCAUUCUAAUUUUGAAAUGGUGUUCAAUCACGAUUGACAGUUCGGUAGUGAUUUAUUUGGUAGAAAUAUCUGACUGUAGCGUUGAAUUUUUAUGUAAAGUCAAAAACGGGCUAUUUAUUUAUAAAUUCA